rnacentral:misc_RNA from 1 species
CCGAGUUUACAACUCCCAAACCCAAUGUGAACAGUACCUCAACUGUUGCUUCGGCGGACGCCCGGCGCCUCCACCCGCCCCCGGGGGAUCGGUAACCUAGCCCGGACCCAGGCGCCCGCCGGAGGUAACCACCAAACUCUUUGUAGUCCCUCGGACGUAUUUCUUACUGAGUGAGCAAAACUCAAAAUGAAUCA